rnacentral:rRNA from 1 species
CCUACGGGAGGCAGCAGUGAGGAAUAUUGGUCAAUGGCCGGAAGGCUGAACCAGCCAAGCCGCGUGAAGGACGAAGGUGCCAAGCAUUGUAAACUUCUUUUGUCAAGGGACAAAAUCAGGCUCGAGAGCAUGACCGAGGGUACUUGAAGAAAAAGCAUCGGCUAACUCCGUGCCAGCAGCGGCGGUAAUACGGAGGAUGCGAGCGUUAAACGGAUGUAGUGGGUUUAAAGGGUGCGGAGGGGGGCCUUUAAGGCAGGCGGAAAAGGCCGGGGCUCAAACCCGGGGGGGCCGUUAAAACUGGCUGUCUUGAGAUGUGGAGAGGUAUGCGGAAUGCGCAGUGUAGCGGUGAAAUGCGUAGAUAUUGGGCAGAACACCGGUUGCGAAGGC